AAUCAACGCUGGCGGCGUGCCUCAGACAUGCAAGUCGAACGCGAAAGGCUCCUUCGGGGGCCGAGUAGAGUGGCGCACGGGUGAGUAACACGUAGGUAAUUUGCCUUUGGGUGGGGGAAUAACUCAGGGAAACUUGAGCUAAUACCGCAUAAUGCAGCGGCUCGACAUCGAGACAGUUGUUAAAGCGGGGGAUCGCAAGACCUCGCGCCUGAAGAGAAGCCUGCGGCAGAUUAGCUAGUUGGUAGGGUAAUGGCCUACCAAGGCGACGAUCUGUAACCGGCCUGAGAGGGCGGUCGGUCACACUGACACUGACAUACGGGUCAGACUCCUACGGGAGGCAGCAGUCGGGAAUUUUGGGCAAUGGGCGCAAGCCUGACCCAGCAACGCCGCGUGAAGGAUGAAAUCCCUCGGGAUGUAAACUUCGCAAGAAUGGGAAGAAUAAGUAGGGGACAAUACCCCUAUGAUGACGGUACCAUUUGUAAGCUCCGGCUAACUUCGUG
rnacentral:rRNA from 1 species